AUGGACUUAGAAUUCUUUUACGAUAAUGUGGGUAGCCGUGUCAAACCAGCUAGAGACCCAAACCGCAUUAGAGCUUUUCUUCAGACAUACAAGGAGAUUGAAAAUGCAGACACACACUUUCAACUUCAGGAAGAUCUCAUUGAGCACCAUUGGCAAAGGGCUGGACAGUGA
rnacentral:rRNA from 1 species